AGUGAACGCUGGCGGUAGGCCUAACACAUGCAAGUCGAACGGCAGCACAGUAAGAGCUUGCUCUUACGGGUGGCGAGUGGCGGACGGGUGAGGAAUACAUCGGAAUCUACUUUUUCGUGGGGGAUAACGUAGGGAAACUUACGCUAAUACCGCAUACGACCUACGGGUGAAAGCAGGGGAUCUUCGGACCUUGCGCGAUUGAAUGAGCCGAUGUCGGAUUAGCUAGUUGGCGGGGUAAAGGCCCACCAAGGCGACGAUCCGUAGCUGGUCUGAGAGGAUGAUCAGCAACACUGGAACUGAGACACGGUCCAGCAUCCUAAGGGAGGCAGCAGUGGGGAAUCUUGGACAAUGGGCGCAAGCCUGAUCCAGCCAUACCGCGUGGGUGAAGAAGGCCUUCGGGUUGUAAAGCCCUUUUGUUGGGAAAGAAAAGCAGCAGGUUAAUACCCCGCUGUUCUGACGGUGCCCAAAGAAUAAGCACCGGCUAACUUCGUG
rnacentral:rRNA from 1 species